CUCAAUACUAUUAUGAAGCCAAUAUAUAAACACUUACACACUCAUAUGAAUAAUAAAACACAAAUAUAGUCUAGCAAGGGGAGGGGUGAGGAGGAAGAGAAAGGAAGGGCGGAGGGGAAUCUCAGCUAAUGUGCACAAUGCAAGGGUAUAUUUCAAAAUAACUAAGAGUAAAUUGUAAAUGUCUUACCACAAAAAAUAAGUGAAGGGAUGACCAUGUUAAUCAGUUUGAUAUAAGCACGCUGCAUUGUAUAUCAACUCAUCACAUUGUACCCCAUAAAUGUGUACAGUUAUGAUUUUAAUUAAAAAUUAAUAAAAAAUAAAAGGUAUUAAAUAAAAAAAAUCAAAUUACAAAAACUAAAGAAAUACAAAUUUAUAUCCUGGGCCAAUACAGUGCAUAAAAAGGAAAGUGCUUUAAAAAAAAAAGUAUCCACAGGGCCAGAUGGCUCCCAGGUGAUAAAGACAGCCAAUACUCGCAGACAUUAAUUAGUAAAAUGCUUCAGUGACAUGGGAAGCAGCUCAGAAUUAAGGUGAACUAAAAGACUAAAAAUGCAAAACCCUAUCCAUAUAAAAAUGUUAUAGUCCAUAAAAUCAUAUUAAUAGCACUGUAUCUACGAAGAAAAAUCUGAAAGUUAACUUACCAUGAUAAUAGGGAUCUCUAGUGUGAUCAUGAAUAUUUUUAUCUUUACCCUGUUUCUCCGAGUUUCUUCAAUGAAGAUCUUUACCGGCAUGUUCUACCUCUGAACCCCGAGACCUUCACUGAGCCACCUGAUUAUUUGUACCUCAUUAUCCUCAUCUAUAAAAUGAAAGCUCCAAGUACAUGAUUAUUGUGAAGAUUAAAAAUGUAGUAAGCAUUUAGAAAAAGAAAAGCUUGCAAGUAGAAAAUGCUCAUUAAAUAUUUGCUUUUAUAAAAGUUAAUGUUUAUUAAACAUGCAACAGUUCAAAAUAUUAUGCUCACAUAACAGUAUUUGUAAGAUAGUUCCUAGCCAUGUAGAAACCCUUUCUAUUUCCACAGAAAUGAAGGCACCUCCAUGGCCCGCUCACAUUCAUGCAAAAAGCCCUACUGAGAUGCAUGCCCUAGAUACAGAUCCUCAGGGUAAGCAGUGCUAAGUCUGUGGUCAGCACUAAAGGAACCACCCCCUUCCUUCCCUCGCUUCCUUCUAUCCAGUUCAGACCACACCUUCCUGUCCCAGACCUGAGGUGUACAGCCACUAGGUCCCCACCGUCCUGCCUUCUCCCUGAGGACACGGCUUGUCAGACAGGAUGUCCCUCCUGGAAGCAUUCACUUUCUUCUCCUUUUGGGCUCUUGGACUUGGAUUAUCAAAAGUGGAACAGUCUCUUAUAUCCGUUUCCAAAGAAGUUAAGAAAAGUAUUGAAAUACAUUGCAAGAUAUGGAGCACAAAUUUUGAAACCGAAGUCAUUCACUGGUACCAGCAGAAACCAAAUCAGGCCUUGCAGCAUCUGGUUCAAGUGACCUCUACGAGAUCCCCAGUUUCCUUGCAAGGCAGGGAAGACAAAAUUAAGACAAGGUCUCACUUUGUUGCUCAGGCUGGAUUCUUGGUCUCAACCCAAAGUGCUGGGAUUACAGAGAAAGACGAUGAAGCCAUGUACUACUGUGCCUGCUGGAUCCACAGUGUUAGAACUACAAGGGUUCUGCAAAGAACAACAAAAAUCCUGAGUACAAAAGAAUCAGACAGUUAAGAAGAAAGAUAAUACAUGUUCCCUGCAUCUAUAGUAUAGAGGAAAUAACCAUAAUACCCCUCACAAAUAAAUAAAAUAAAAAAA